rnacentral:lncRNA from 1 species
AAGUCCCUAACCAAGGCUGAUUUCCAGAGGUGCCUGCACAGAUGAGGAUGCACUGUGUCCACCCUCUCCUUCCCUACCAGGGGGUCUGCGGGUGCCCUGGACAGCUGGCAAGCAUCCCUUUGUGCUUUAAAAGGGAAUGGGUAAAUUUCAGAAGGAAAGCAAUGUUGUUGCUACAAGGAUUACAAAGACAAACUUUGAAAUAUGGAUCUGUAUCUACUCCUGCAAGGUGACACUCCAUUGACUUCACUUGAUACUUGCUUUACUGAGAAUUGGUCCAAUAGAUUUUAAUGCAGACAGUGUAACACAGAAAAAAUUGCUUUCAGCAUAGCUGACGGUGUAAUGUUGUUUUAAAAAGAUAGGAUGUAUUGAAACACUUCCCCUCCCUCCAUCCCUCCCUGUCUUUCGCUUCAAAUGUUUGUAUGGCAAUGGUCUUUUCUGCACUUAAUCAGCUCUUGGAUGCAAGUGGCUAUUCUAAAGUCACUUUUAGUUUUGUCAGCCUGUUUGCUUGCAUAUUGCUGGUGUGAGAGUUUUCUAAUCGCAGCAUUCCAUUGUAAAGAAAAUCUGUAAGAGGCAGAAAUAAGAGAUGGCUCAAAUUACCUUGUAACUAGUGUUUGUUCCAAAUGGAACAGUCUCCAAAGCAUUUGUCAUUAGAACUAGAAGAGCUUUAUAGCCCUAAAAGCAAAGGUCAGAGAUGUAUGUGUAUGCAUGUAUCAUUUACAAUUGCACUAGAAAUUGUGUGAAAUGGUAGUCAGAUUCUGUUGGUUUUGUCUAAACCUCUUCUCAUUUAAUAAAGUCUAUAUACCAA